GACGAACGCUGGCGGCGUGCUUAACACAUGCAAGUCGAACGGAAAGGCCCUGCUUUUGUGGGGUGCUCGAGUGGCGAACGGGUGAGUAACACGUGAGUAACCUGCCCUUGACUUUGGGAUAACUUCAGGAAACUGGGGCUAAUACCGGAUAGGAGCUCCUGCUGCAUGGUGGGGGUUGGAAAGUUUCGGCGGUUGGGGAUGGACUCGCGGCUUAUCAGCUUGUUGGUGGGGUAGUGGCUUACCAAGGCUUUGACGGGUAGCCGGCCUGAGAGGGUGACCGGCCAAAAUGGGAACGAGAAAAGGGCCAAGAUCCUAAGGGAGGGAGGAGGGGGGAAAAAUGGAACAAGGGGGGAAGCCUGAAGGAGGAAAGGCGGGGGCGGGAAGAAGGCCUUUGGGGUGGAAAACGGUUUCGCCUGGGAAGAAGGGUGAGGGAAGGGAAAGGGUAAAGAAGCACCGGCUAACUACGUG
rnacentral:rRNA from 1 species